UACGGAGGGGGCUAGCGUUGUUCGGAAUUACUGGGCGUAAAGCGCGCGUAGGCGGCUUUGUAAGUUAGAGGUGAAAGCCCGGAGCUCAACUCCGGAAUUGCCUUUAAGACUGCAUCGCUAGAAUCAUGGAGAGGUGAGUGGAAUUCCGAGUGUAGAGGUGAAAUUCGUAGAUAUUCGGAAGAACACCAGUGGCGAAGGCGACUUACUGGACACAUAUUGACGCUGAGGUGCGAAAGCGUGGGGAGCAAACAGG
rnacentral:rRNA from 1 species